GGAGGAUCCAAGCGUUAUCCGGAAUCAUUGGGUUUAAAGGGUCCGUAGGCGGUUUUGUAAGUCAGUGGUGAAAGCCCAUCGCUCAACGGUGGAACGGCCAUUGAUACUGCAAGACUUGAAUUACUAGGAAGUAACUAGAAUAUGUAGUGUAGCGGUGAAAUGCUUAGAGAUUACAUGGAAUACCAAUUGCGAAGGCAGGUUACUACUAGUGGAUUGACGCUGAUGGACGAAAGCGUGGGUAGCGAACAGGAUUAGAUACCCUGGUAGUCCACGCCGUAAACGAUGGAUACUAGCUGUUGGGAGCAAUCUCAGUGGCUAAGCGAAAGUGAUAAGUAUCCCACCUGGGGAGUACGGGCGCAAGCCUG
rnacentral:rRNA from 1 species